AACUUUUAACAAUGGAUCUCCGCCGAUUCUGGACCUGGUGCACUUGGGCCUGGGACCGGACGGGCACACGGCUUCGUUAGUACCUGGAGAUCCGGUACUCAAGAUCAACGAUGCCGACGUAGCUCUGACGGGGGAGUACCAGCACAGGCGGCGGAUGACGCUGACCUAUCCCAUGAUCAAUCGCGCCCGGCGGAUCUUAUGGUUGGCAACGGGCAGUGAGAAAGCCGGCAUGCUCACCCGCCUGCGCCAGGCCGAUCUGUCGAUCCCGGCAGGAAGGAUUAGCCAGGAACGGGCGGUAAUUUUCGCCGAUCAAGCCGCAACCGAAGGCGUGGCAGCUUAAGCAUAUCAAUAAGCGGAGGCU
rnacentral:misc_RNA from 1 species